GGAACACUUCCUGCACUUUUCAAGACAAGAACAUCAUGUGCGUCAAUUGAAUAGAAACUGAACAAGAAUCAAGAAUUGCAGUUGUUGACAUGCCAAUAUCAGGAAAAAAUAAUGAAAGUCUUAGUACUGAUAUUAGUACCAAAGCGAAGGUUCCUAGUUUGAUUGGCGAUUCAAGAAUUACUUGAGCUUUCCUGCAUGAAUUUCCAUUUCCAAGGAACUUAAUGCUAACAUGGUUAGAAAACUUUGAAGUUUACUUUAGGAUUAGUUCUCCGUCUCUUG
rnacentral:lncRNA from 1 species